rnacentral:rRNA from 1 species
UAACGGGCCGUACCAAGGCGAUGAUGCAUAGCCCGAGUUGAGAGACUGGAUCGGGCCACGAUUGGGACUGAGACACGGGCCCAAACUCCUACGGGAGGCAGCAGUAGGGGAAUCUUCCACAAUGGACGCAAAGUCUGAUGGAGCAAAACGCCGCGUGAGUGAAGAAGGGUUUCGGCUCGUAAAAGCUCUGUUGUUGGUGAAGAAGGACAGGGGUAGUAACUGACCCUUUGUUUGACGGUAAUCAAUUUAGAAAGUCACGGGCUAACUACGUGCCCAGCAGCCGCGGUAAAU